rnacentral:rRNA from 1 species
UACGAAGGGGGCUAGCGUUGUUCGGAAUUACUGGGCGUAAAGGGCGCGUAGGCGGUGUGUCAAGUCAGGCGUGAAAGCCCCGGGCUCAACCUGGGAACCGCGCUUGAGACUGGCACGCUAGAGUUCGGGAGAGGAUGGUGGAAUUCCCAGUGUAGAGGUGAAAUUCGUAGAUAUUUGGGAAGAACACCGAUGGCGAAGGCAGCCAUCUGGACCGACACUGACGCUGAGGCGCGAAAAGCGUGGGGGAGCAAA